UACGUAGGGUGCGAGCGUUGUCCGGAUUUAUUGGGCGUAAAGAGCUCGUAGGCGGCUCGGUAAGUCGGGUGUGAAACCUCCAGGCUCAACCUGGAGACGCCACCUGAUACUGCUGUGGCUAGAGUCCGGUAGGGGAGCGUGGAAUUCCUGGUGUAGCGGUGAAAUGCGCAGAUAUCAGGAGGAACACCAGCGGCGAAGGCGGCGCUCUGGGCCGGUACUGACGCUGAGACGCGAAAGCGUGGGGAGCGAACAGG
rnacentral:rRNA from 1 species